CACUAUGCUUUAGCCCUAAACAUUGAUAGUUUUUUACACCCACUAUCCGCCCGGGUACUACGAGCAACAGCUUAAAACCCAAAGGACUUGGCGGUGCUUUAGACCCACCUAGAGGAGCCUGUUCUGAAACCGAUAACCCCCGUUCAACCUCACCUUUUCUUGUUCUCCCCGCCUAUAUACCGCCGUCGUCAGCUUACCCUAUGAAGGCCCUUCAGUAAGCACAAUUGGUACAACCCAAAACGUCAGGUCGAGGUGUAGCGUAUGGAAAGGGAAGAAAUGGGCUACAUUCCUUACCACAAGGAAUUACGAAAAAUAUUACUGAAACGUAUAUCUAGAAGGAGGAUUUAGCAGUAAGCAGAAAAUAGAGCGUUCUGCUGAAACUGGCCCUGAAGCGCGCACACACCGCCCGUCACUCUCCCCAAGCGCACUCAUACAAUUUAACUUAAAACCUUUCAACAGCAAAGGGGAGGCAAGUCGUAA
rnacentral:rRNA from 1 species